UCGGUUAUAAGAUCCCUCAAAGAUGAUGAGGUUAAUAGGUUCGAGGUGGAAGCAUGGUGACAUGUGGAGCUGACGAAUACUAAUCGAUCGAAGACUUAAUCAA
rnacentral:rRNA from 1 species